CCAAUAGCGUAUAUUAAAGUUGUUGCAGUUAAAAAGCUCGUAGUUGAAUUUCGGGGUUAGUAGGUCGGUCAUGCCACUGGUAUGUACUGGUCUCACUGAUUCCUCCUUCCUGAUGAACCGUAAUGCCAUUAAUUUGGUGUUGCGGGGAGACUGGACUGUUACUUUGAAAAAAUUAGAGUGUUUAAAGCAGGCUAACGCUUGAAUACAUUAGCAUGGAAUAAUGAAAUAGGACGUUCGAUCCUAUUUUGUUGGUUUCUAGGAUUGACGUAAUGAUUAAUAGGGAUAGUUGGGGGCAUUAGUAUUCAAUUGUCAGAGGCGAAAUUCUUGGAUUUAUUGAAGACUAACUACUGCGAAAGCAUUUGCCAAGGAUGUUUUCAUUAAUCAAGAACGAAAGUUAGGGGAUCGAAGACGAUCAGAUACCGUCGUAGUCUUAACCAUAAGCUAUGCCGACUAGGGAUCGGAUGAUGUUAAUUUUUUAAUGACUCAUUCGGCGCCUUACG
rnacentral:rRNA from 1 species